rnacentral:rRNA from 1 species
UACGUAGGGGGCGAGCGUUGUCCGGAAUCAUUGGGCGUAAAGCGCGUGUAGGCGGCUCGAUAAGUCCGGUGUGAAACCUUGGGGCUCAACCCAAGCCUGCACUGGAUACUGCCGAGCUAGAGUCCGGGAGGGGAGAGCGGAAUUCCUAGUGUAGCGGUGAAAUGCGCAGAUAUUAGGAAGAACACCGGUGGCGAAGGCGGCUCUCUGGAACGGUACUGACGCUGAGACGCGAAAGCGUGGGGAGCGAACG